rnacentral:rRNA from 1 species
CCUACGGGUGGCAGCAGUGGGGAAUAUUGGGCAAUGGGCGCAAGCCUGACCCAGCAACGCCGCGUGAAGGAAGAAGGCCUUCGGGUUGUAAACUUCUUUUGUCAGGGACGAAGCAAGUGACGGUACCUGACGAAUAAGCCACGGCUAACUACGUGCCAGCAGCCGCGGUAAUACGUAGGCGGCAAGCGUUAUCCGGAUUUACUGGGUGUACAGGGCGUGUAGGCGGGACUGCAAGUCAGGUGUGAAAACCACGGGCUCAACCUGUGACCUGCAUUUGAAACUGUAGUACUUGAGUACUGGAGAGGCAGACGGAAUGCCUAGUGUAGCGGUGAAAUGCGUAGAUAUUAGGAAGAACACCAGUGGCGAAGGCAGUCUACUGGACAGCAACUGACGCUGAGGCGCGAAAGCGUGGGGAGCAAACAGGAUUAGAUACCCCAGUAGUC